UGGUGCUGGCAGGUGGAGGAGCAGUGGUGCUGGCAGGUGGAGGAGCAAUGCAUGAUGGAAGCCUGCUGGAGAGUGCCUGAGCUUCUUUCUCCAAGACACCCACUGCGUUGGGGAGCUGCAUGAGGGAGGAACCAGUCUUGGUCCUAAAUAGUUCCUCAAUCUGAUGCUGGCAAACUUGAUGACUUUGUGGACGAUGUAGCCUGCAAGAUGGAAGAGAAUACAUUUCUCAGUUUUUGUGAGGAAGUCUGCCAAAAAGCUACUGUGGUCUUCCUGGUAGCUCCCAGAGCUGAUGGUGGUGAGGAACUGCCCCACAGAUAUGAUUCUCAGUGCAUGAUGGAAUUCCACUGGAGUUGGGACAGGAUUUUUAGACCUCACACAGCUGAAGGCUUACAACCUCCCUUUUGACCAAUCUUCAUCCCACGAAACAGAUGGACGAUGUUCUGGAGGAAGGUGAUGGCCUUUUGGUACUCCUCCAUCUUGAGCCUGCUCAGGGCUGUAAUUGGAUGGCGAGAUGACAUGAGAUCAAACCAACGAUCAACCUGCUCCAGGAACCAUGCUGUCGUCAAUUAGGACAGAGGGCGGUUUUCUUGCUGCACCAUGUAUUUCAGCCCAGCACUUGUAGCCUUACUGAAUACAUUUAGAGCAAGACCAACAUCGGGCAUGAAAUAAAGCUGCCUGUCUGGUGUUGCUGGAUGUGGCACCGAUGUUUUAUUUUGGUCGACCCCAAAGGAUUUCCACAUGGCUCGGUUAGGGCUACCCAUGUCUGUGGUGACAUCAAGCACAUGUAGCCCUAUGGAUGCUGCCCUCUGUAUUACCUCAAUAAUGAUUGGCCUGUACUCUGCUCCAUUGGUAGAAUUGCCAGUGUAAUGAUAUGCCACUACUUGCUUCCACCGUGUUGUGUUUCCAGCCAACAUAAACACACAAGCAUGUGUUGCCACUCCUGUGUGACCUGGUAAAGUUACAUCACCGUACAGUUUGCCUGUAAUCAUGUCCAACUCCACACUUGGUGUGAUUGCCAUUUCAUCCAAGGUCAACACACACUCCCUUUCAAGUGUUCUUAUUCCUGGCAGGGGAAUCUGCAAUUCCUGCAGAGUUUUGUAACCGGUUGGUCCGGCAGCAAAGCACAUUUUUAAAGCCUUCUUAAUUGUCUCAUUGCUCCAUUUCAUUCCCUUUAUCUGUUUGACUGGCUGCUGGUUCCCUGGUAUGCUGACUGGCUGCUGGUUCCCUGGUAUGCUGACUGGCUGCUGGUUCCCUGGUAUGCUGACUGGCUGCUGGUUCCCUGGUAUGCUGACUGGCUGCUGGUU